AUUGUCAUCUUCUUUAUUUCCUGUGUCUCAGAGAGACGAGUCUCCGUCGGUAAUCAUCGUCGUCGCGUUUAUGUCGGUUCGUGUGCUUCAGAAUCUAUUCAUCUCCUCACAGGCGUUACAACUACAAGCUCCAUUGAUUCAAUGACAUUAACAAGUUCUUAACUCUUCAGUGAUGAAUCACUCAUUCGAUGAUUCUAAACUCUACCUAUAAAAAGCUAAGACUUCAUCCCUUAAGAAUCAUCGCCACAAUUCCAAUAGCAAACAAAUUUAUUUCUCACUUUAAUUAAUGGCUUACGCCUUGGUUCUUCUUGGACGGCUGAUCAGAUUCUGGGAGGCCAUGUGACGAUUUGAUCCGUCUCGACAUGAUCUUCGUCGAUUCUCAGCCACCAUUGAAAAGGCGGUGCAGUUCAUAGCAAGCACUCAAGAGGCAGAUGGUUCAUGGUACGGAAGUUGUGGAGUUUGCUACACAUAUGCAUCAUGAAACAAAGCAACCAAAAAGUCAUCAUUUUUUUCCGGACCUCCCAGAAAAAAAAAUUCUCUAACCCAAAUACCAAAAAAAAAUCAUUUUUAGACUAUUGAAACAAAGUUAUUUCACGAAAUUAGAAUUCUUUCUCAAAACCUUUCCAAAUAUGUUUCUCCUCCACUCUUUUCCUUAAUAUGCACAUCAAAUUGAUCAUCGCUCCAAGAUAUAUAUAAACUACAAAAUCCUGUUAACACACUAACAUCUAUACGCGGCUACAUGUUGAAAAAUAGCAAUUUUAUUUACACAUUCAUUACUUCCAAAUAUUGAUCCAUCUAAUAAACAAUAAUAUCAUGCACAAAAUACUUACUUAACAUCUUUGGCAUAUAGUAGUGAGAAGCUAAUGACUCUUGACGGUUUUUAUAGAAGCUGCUUGAAUCUACAUUUCAAUGGUGAUGAACUUGAGAUUUUCCUUGUAGUUUAGCAAAAAAAAAAAAACAUCUUUGGCAUAUCCCGCACUACAUAGCACAAUUGACCAAUGAUAUAUAGCUACUAUACAGUGUGGUCACUGAAGAAGCCUUCGAGAGAGAAGGAGACCUGAAACAGAUAAAAUGUUUAUUUAAGCUAAUGCAAUCAGAGAGAAUAAAACAAAGAUGCAUUCUUUUUUUUUUAAACACACAAAGAAGCGUUCACUACUGUCAUUUUAUAAAUAAUUAUGACAUAUAAAUGACUUUGAAAGGUAGUUUUCAAAACUUUAUGCCAAUCUCAGAUUAGUUUAUAAAUGAUCUAUUAACUUAACAACAAAAAUACAUUGUUUGUCUUCUACCAAAACUAUUUCUAUACGUUCGCUUUGUAAAACACAUAACAUUUCGGAAUAUGCACACUACCACCAAACAUUAUUAAACAUUAUAAGUGAACUAGAAAACCUUACAUUUAUUCACCAUAAGAUAAUUUCUGUGAUUUUCAUGAUACAAUCAUAUUUCAUUUUUAAAAAUGCAACCACCUCGACACAAAUAUCAACUAUAAUAGUAAAUUUUCAAAUUAAUCAAAAUAGCUACUUACAAAUGUCCAUAAAUUACACAGAUAGCGGUUUGAAAUCAACAAUAGAACUUAUCUAUGUCUUUUCUUUGCUCAAAAAGAAAAAAAUCUAUGCUCUUUUACUUGGAGUCAAUAUUUUCCAUUUCCACAAUGUUGUUCAAUGGCUUCAUACAAAUAUAAGCUGUCUUAAAUGUAGGGAAAGUCUUCUAUGAUUCAGCAUUAUUACAAUUUAUAAAGAAGUUACUUAUGUUCCAAUUUUCAUCAGUUCCACUUACCCACCGUUUUUGAUCUUUGUUUUAAUUUUCAAACAAAAUAAAUAAAUGUUUUUCCUCAUUUCAUAAUAUGUUCCUUUGCCAAAAUGAGUUUCUUACCAAAAUCAAAUAAGAAGAAUAUAUAUACAAAACUUUAUAACAUACGUCCAAAUAAAACAUCAACUUUAAUUUAUGUUUAAAUUCCAACUACAUUAACAUUUUUACAACUAUCAGUUUUUUAU